AACGCGAAGAACCUUACCAGCCCUUGACAUCCCGGUCGCGGUUUCCAGAGAUGGAUUCCUUCAGUUCGGCUGGACCGGUGACAGGUGCUGCAUGGCUGUCGUCAGCUCGUGUCGUGAGAUGUUGGGUUAAGUCCCGCAACGAGCGCAACCCUCGCCCUUAGUUGCCAGCAUUAAGUUGGGCACUCUAAGGGGACUGCCGGUGAUAAGCCGAGAGGAAGGUGGGGAUGACGUCAAGUCCUCAUGGCCCUUACGGGCUGGGCUACACACGUGCUACAAUGGUGGUGACAGUGGGCAGCGAGACCGCGAGGUCGAGCUAAUCUCCAAAAGCCAUCUCAGUUCGGAUUGCACUCUGCAACUCGAGUGCAUGAAGUUGGAAUCGCUAGUAAUCGCGGAUCAGCAUGCCG
rnacentral:rRNA from 1 species